rnacentral:rRNA from 1 species
UCCACGCCCUAAACGUUGGAUGCUAGGUGUGGGGGGUGUCGACCCCCUCUGUGCCGUAGUUAACGCUUUAAGCAUCCCGCCUGGGGAGUACGGCCGCAAGGCUAAAACUCAAAGGAAUUGACGGGGGCCCGCACAAGCGGCGGAGCGUGUGGUUUAAUUCGAUGCAACGCGAAGAACCUUACCAGGGCUUGACAUGCCGGUGGUACUGAUCCGAAAGGUGAGGGACCCUUCGGG